UGGGGAAUAUUGCACAAUGGGCGCAAGCCUGAUGCAGCGACGCCGCGUGAGGGAUGACGGCCUUCGGGUUGUAAACCUCUUUCAAUAGGGACGAAGCGCAAGUGACGGUACCUAUAGAAGAAGCACCGGCCAACUACGUGCCAGCAGCCGCGGUAAUACGUAGGGUGCGAGCGUUGUCCGGAAUUACUGGGCGUAAAGAGCUCGUAGGUGGUUUGUCGCGUUGUUCGUGAAAACUCACAGCUUAACUGUGGGCGUGCGGGCGAUACGGGCAGACUGGAGUACUGCAGGGGAGACUGGAAUUCCUGGUGUAGCGGUGGAAUGCGCAGAUAUCAGGAGGAACACCGGUGGCGAAGGCGGGUCUCUGGGCAGUAACUGACGCUGAGGAGCGAAAGCGUGGGGAGCGAACAGG
rnacentral:rRNA from 1 species